AUCUAGUCUGUCUAUAUCUAUAGCUAUACUUACUAUUAUACACUUUUACAGUAUAUGAGUAUACUCAUACGAGUCAUACUGGCUAUACUAUAGUAUAGACACUAUAGUUAGUAUAGUUAAUACUUUUUAAUAGUAGAUCUAUAAUCUAUCAAUUCUAUCUAAAUUAUUCUAAAUCUAGACUUCACUUUCACAUCACAUUCAGUCAUUCACACGAUUAUUGAUACAGACAGUGAAUGAAACGAAUGCAGUGGUUAUACUGAUUAUACUUAAAGUGACGAUACUACUUAUAGAUCUACCAGUUGAUAAACACCAUCAUCAUAGAUAAUAAUCUACAUCUAUAAUCAUAGUGCCCUUUAUUUAGUCAAUAUAGUCAAGUCAAGGUAGUGGAACGUAAACUCGAAGGUUUAAUACAAUAUGUUAUUAACAAGUAGAACCAUGGCAACCAGUUCUGAUGAUGUACCAGAAUGGCUCAAGGAUCAUACUUAUACUAUUUCUACUCUCUGGGCAUCCAUUCAAUAUUUAAUUUAUGCUUGGAAAUGCAAGAAAAAGGCAUGCAUUCCUGAAAAGUCAAUGAUUGGUUGCACCUCUUAAAGAUAACUUUCUGUUAUGAGAAAAGAUGAGAUUCUUGGACUCCUGCAUAGCACCACCAGAAAGGAAAAUCCCAUCAUGUUGCAAAAUAAAAGUCUUGGACUAAUUUUAAUUUAAGAUAUAUAUAUUAGACUGUAAGCUGUAUUCAUAUUUAUGUAUAUCCUGUCAUUCAGCCAACAGGUUUGGAUUUAGUAUUUCUUUAAAUCUGUUUGAUAUUGUACUUGAAAACUAUUAAUCUGAGCCCCAUUAAAACAAGAGGGAGUGCAGUGGAUGAGUGGUAAGGGAAAUUUUACUUUUUUAAAAUUUAAAUAAGAAUCUAACCAAAGUAAACAUAUAAAAUAUGGUGCAUUCUCCUUAAAACUAAAACCUGGUGCAAAGGUUUAAAAUGUUGGCAAAAAAAAAAGCAACAUCAAUUAAAU